AGCGUCGUGGAACAGUGGAAGUUCGUAGGGCUCAUAACCCUAAGGUCACUGGAUCGAAACCAGUCGACGCUA